ACCUCCAUAUGCUGCAGGAGCGGCUCAAUAAAUGGCAAAAAGACGAAAAAAAAAGAAGCAACUGUUUAUAAGGUACACUAGGAUUAAACUGACAAGAGGUGGUGAAGCACCCUGAGACCUGCUUGGGGAGGGGCGAGAGUUGUAACCCAAACCAUUAGAACUGCAGUGUGGUGGGGAGGAUGCCUGGAGGGUGCUGUUGGUCAAGGGUCACCGUAGCCAAGGGGCAGGGAGAGAGCCCCCAGGAUCAACACCUCCCCUGCUCUCGCUCCGCACUGUACCUGCUAGUGUGCGGCUGCUGGGUGUCACCUUCCAGAGUGAUGUCAGGGCAGGGGGAGGACCACCCAUUGCAGGCUCCACCCCCUGAGAAAGGUGGAGCAAUAUCUCUUCUGUGGACCGGCCGGAGGGAGGCCUGGUUCCUUCAGUCUGUCCAUGGCCGGCUGUGUGGACCACUGCGGGAGCAGAGAAGAAAAACACAGGCCCUCCUCCCUCUGGGACUUUGGGGAUGGGAGGGCAUGUGUUGGGGUUGUUAUGAGUAUGGCUGGACUGUGCUCACAUUCACAGAUACACAGACACACACAACUGCAGCUGGCGAGUCAGGUGAGAAAGAGCCCCAGACAUUCAUGUGGCUGCUUCUUGGCCAAAGUCCUCAUGCCUGUGGCUCAGGCCCAGCUUAGGAGGCCAAGAAGCAGAUGCUGAGCCCGGAAGUGAUGAUCCAGGAGACUGGGGCCUGGGUGAGGGGGUUGGAGAUUGGUGCAGGCCUGUGACCCCACCUGUCCCCUGGGUACAUCAGGGAUUUGGCUGCUCUGUACUCAGAACCUGUGGGCACCCCUUCCCCUUCCUUCCUGGCAUGUACACACCUUCAGGAUUCUCUUUUAUGUGUCGGUCCCAGAGGAGACACCGAGAGCUUUAAUGAAUGAUAGAUUUCUUCAUUCAUUCAUUCAUUCAUUCACUCACUCAACAAGUAUUUUUUGGAGCUGUCCCCAAACUAACAUCACUCAUAGUGCUCUAUUCGUGCUUGAUGCUGGAGCGAGAGUGGUGAACAAGGUAAUUAGCAUCUUUGUCCAGCUUCUUCUUUUGAGGGAGAGACAGAUAUAAAGUGGGAACCAGGGAGUGGUAAGCAGGUUGACAAGGGUGGGACAGUGGGCAACAGGGACUCACUGUAGGGAAACCUGGCCUGGGCUAAGGUGUCAGGGCAGGAGGCCUGGAGAAGUGACAGUUGGAUGAGAGCUGAGCAAUAGGCGGGAAUAGGCCUGGCAAAGGGACUGGGGUGAGGGGGGUGCGUAGCAUAUCUUCAAGCAGGAGCAUGAAGUCCGCUUUGGUUGGGCCGCGUGUUGCGAGAGGCUGAAAGGAAGGCAAAGAGGCUGGAGAGGUUGGGGCCAGAUCAUGCAGCCACCUGGAAAGAUUUAUCUUGCAGGCAAUGGGGUUGCCACUGGAGGGAUUUUAAGCAGAGGAUGAAUGUAAUCAGAUUUUUUUGUUUUGGAACAAUAGUCUGGCUGCUGGGUGGAGACUGAUGGGGUGGGGUGUGUUGAGAGCAGUGACCCAGAGAUGAUGGUGGCCUAGAAAGUCUAGGCCCCCUGCCUCCCCUGAAGUCACCCCAAGACAGUGCCAGUCUUGGUGCAGACCCAAAUGUUGGGAUUUCAGAGGUGCCCUUGUUUGCAAAUUAUGUGCACCGCCACCCCCACCUUCUAUGAAUUUCUAUCUUUAGGGGGUGGUUGCUGGGCUCAGAGCUUCCUGUUCUAGUUAAAUGAAAACAUCUUGGAGAGUUAAGUCAGUCUGUCUUGGUGGUAGGUAGACUUUAAUCAUGGGGCCUGGUCUGACUCACUUCCCAUUUCCCAGCCUCAGACACCUUAUCUAUAUAUAUGGCAGGUCAAGGAGGAUUCAUGGAGGCCUUGAGAACAGCAGGCUAUACAAAGGCUCAUGGACAAUGCGAGAGCCCUGUGGAUUCUGCCAGAGAUCAGAUCUGAUCCCAAAUCUGGGACUCCGCUUCCUCCCGCACCAGGCUUAUCUGGGCCCCUGGAGGAAAGAAGCCCUCUGUUUGCCAGUUCAGGAAACUUGUAACUUGGCUCACCUGUCUGCCCUGCCUGCUAUGAGGAGCUUCAGCUGCAGACCCACAGCUCCUUGCGGGCCUUUUCUUCUGAACUCAUCACACUUGCUUAUUUGCUUGAAAGCCAUUCCCCCACUUCCAACACGGGCUUGCUUGCGAGUGAGCCGUCUCUCCCAGGAGUUCCCAGAGAAGUUAUCCAGGUCUUGGCAGGAAUGGCUGGUGUUCCUAAGAAGGACAUUUCAAAACAUGGGCAUCAGAAGACCUGACUGCAAUCCUGGUUCCAUCACAUUGCUUUGACUUUAACCUUGAACAGAUGACCAAGCCUCAUUUUCCCCACCUGUAACUUCUUAGCAUUUUAGUGAGCUGCCCAGGCCAGAGCUUAGCAGAGGGCAGAGACCAGCCCUGCUAGUCUCUUUUGUUCUAGUUUGGAAGCUGGAGGCUUCUUUUUGCUCAUGAAGCUGCUCUGGGAUGGCCAGUGUGGGUGGUGCUAGCCUCAUGCCCUUAGAGCCGGUGUUGUAGGGUGAUUUGUGAAAUGGAUUUGACUUGUUAGGCUCUUAGUUUUCUCUUUCCCCAGCCAGAUAAAAGAAAGACUUUGAGAUCUUUAUGAGAGCAAGAGAGUAGGACUGGACGAACCCCAGGACCCACACCAGACCCAUGAUGACCACGAUGGUUUCUCGUGAAGCAGCCCUGAAACUGAGGUCUCCUGGUGCCCAGAUUGAAGAAACAACUGAAAAGGGCUAUGGGGAACUUCUGCCCAUUACAGCAAUUGGACAAUGAUGCGGAACUCUCGCUUCGAUGAGAAGAUUGACUCCGAUUAUAGAAUCACAAGACCCCAGCUAGAUCCUGGAAUCUGUUUUCCUGAUUGCCUUGUCUUGGGAGUGUGGUGUUUCUGAAGGACUUGGAUGACGAUCUUUGUAGAUGCCCAGUAAAUGGAAGCCAACCCAUAAGCUGAAGCAAAACCAAACAAGCCCAGUAAAAUGAGGAUGAGCCCAUAACUAAACCCACAGCCUAGAGAAAGCCCUCCCCUCAUGCUGCUUCCUUCAGAAGGUUAAAACCCAGAAGAUAAUUGUCGGAACAAAUAUGACUCAAAGAAAUCUGCAUGAGACAGCCCAAAUGUCAUGAUCUUGGCAGGUUGCGGCAUUGAAAAGUACAAAUUUGAGAACUGCUGUUAGUCUUAUUAGGAUAAUUUUUCCUGAGGAGAACGAUCAAGAUGGUGGAGUAGUAGGAUGUGGAGCUCACUUCCUCCCACAGAUAAAUCAAAAAUAUAUCUACAUGUGGAACAGUUUGCGCAGAAGACCUCAGACUUCUAAAAGGGCAAGAAGAAUCUCCAUGUUACUGUAUAGGACAGAAGAAAAAAAAAGAGAUAGGAAUUGGGAUGUGACCUAUGCCCCUGAGAGGGAGCUGUGAAAGAUGAAGUUUCCCACACCCUGGGGAGCCCCCUAACUGGUCAGGAGAUCACCAGGACAUAGGGGGAGCUUUAGAGCCAUGGAGAAUAGCACAGCAACAGGUUUGCAGAACAGAGAGACUUGCACAAAUGGCCUAUGGCACUGCCCUGCUCUCUUCAAUUUGAGAUAUGCAUCCACUGGUGUAGGCAGGGCUGAAGCUCAGAAUUUGGAGGUCAGACCCAGGGAGAGGACUAGGGAUGACUGCCUGGAGAUGGCCUGAAGGGACAGGAGUGUGGUGCAACUGCAACUGAUAGUAUACAUUGGGGGAUCCUAGACCUGCUGUAAAUGAGAGGCAUUAUUGUUGAGGAACUAGGACCCACCAUAACAGACUUUCUUCAUGUGAACGAUCUCAGCCAAGAGGGCACUGCCUCUGUGGCCCUGGAAACAGGUGCACACAGCCACUGCCACAGCCCCAGGCUCCGUGGACAGCAGCCACUGCUGCUGUGGUUCUAGGAGCAGGCACUAGCCUUUGCACCUGCACACCCACUAUCCAGGGGAUAACAGUCAGCACAUGCUGAGGAAACAGGUGGGAAGCAUCCAUACAAAAAAUGGCCCUUACACCAAAAAUAUUAAACCCCUGCAAGCUACAGAGGGAUGUUCGCACAUAAAAAAAUAGCCCUCCAAGACCACAGUAGAUAACUGUUUCUCCUUAACUCACAGAGUAAGAGAAAUAUAAGUAAAACAAAGAAGCAGAGGAAAUACUCCCAAUUUCAGGGAAUUCUCCUGAAAGAACAAUGAAACAGACCUCUUCAGUCUAAUAUACACUGAGUCUGAAAAAGAAAUAAUGAAAAUGCUGAAGGAAUUAAGAAAGGUUAUCAACAGAAAUAAAGAUUACUGUAAAAAGGAACUGGAAACUACUAGUAGAAGCCAAGAAAAAUUAGAAAAUUCAUUUGUUGAGAUGAAAGCUAAACUAAAGUCAAUGAAUAGCAGAAUGAAUAAUGCAGAAGAACAAAUCAGUGAUCUGGAAGAUAGAAUAAUGGAAAUCAUACAAUUAGAAGAGCAAAGAAAACCAAAUUUAAAAAA